rnacentral:rRNA from 1 species
AGCGAACGCUGGCGGCAGGCCUAACACAUGCAAGUCGAACGGAUCCUUCGGGAUUAGUGGCGGACGGGUGAGUAACACGUGGGAACGUGCCCUUUGGUUCGGAACAACUCAGGGAAACUUGAGCUAAUACCGGAUGUGCCCUUCGGGGAAAGAUUUAUCGCCAUUGGAGCGGCCCGCGUCUGAUUAGCUAGUUGGUGAGGUAAAGGCUCACCAAGGCGACGAUCAGUAGCUGGUCUGAGAGGAUGAUCAGCCACAUUGGGACUGAGACACGGCCCAAAACUCCUACGGGAGGCAGCAGUGGGGAAUCUUGCGCAAUGGGCGAAAGCCUGACGCAGCCAUGCCGCGUGAAUGAUGAAGGUCUUAGGAUUGUAAAAUUCUUUCACCGGGGACGAUAAAUGACGGUACCCGGAGAAGAAGCCCCGGCUAACUACGUGCCAGCAGCCGCGGUAAU